rnacentral:lncRNA from 1 species
AAUUUCUUGUCCACACGACCUAAGACACGGGCGUGUGUCCCAGUCGUGUGUGACACACAACCAUGUGACACGGUUGUGUGUCCCUUGUAGGUUUUAAAUGGUACAAUUUAGGAAGUUAGAUGGCCUAGCACACGGCCUGACACACGAGCGUGUGAAGCCAUUUCAAAAGUUACACGACUUGGCACACUGGCGUGUGGCUUGGCCGUGUGACCCAAGUCAGAGAGUUACACGGGUUGGGACACAACUAUGUGUCCUUAUUUUGAAUGUUACACGGC